CAGUCAGAGGUGAAAUCCCAGGGCUCAACCCUGGAACUGCCUCUAAAACUCCUAAUCUUGAGUUCGAGAGAGGUGAGUGGAAUUCCGAGUGUAGAGGUGAAAUUCGUAGAUAUUCGGAAGAACACCAGUGGCGAAGGCGACUCGCUGGACAGGUAUUGACGCUGAGGUUCGAAAGCGUGGGGAGCAAACAGGAUUAGAUACCCUGGUAGUCCACGCCGUAAACGAUGAUAACUAGCUGUCCGGGCUCACAGAGCUUGGGUGGCGCAGCUAACGCAUUAAGUUAUCCGCCUGGGGAGUACGGUCGCAAGAUUAAAACUCAAAGGAAUUGACGGGG
rnacentral:rRNA from 1 species